AUCAGCAUUCAGCUCUAAAGAGGGAACCUAAGAAACGGCUACCUUUGUUUCCAGGAAGGCAGCAGUCUUGUAAAUUACGCUCAACCCCAGAAGAAUACAAGCAGCAAUGGAUAUCUUACGAACGACAGACUGAUGGAAGAGAUGUAAAUGUGGAGGUGCUCAAGCAGACCAUCCAAGAUUCUCAGAGUUGGUCUUCUCAAGACACCCUGCUCUGUGCGCACACUAUUUUGAGGAGCACAGAAUGCUGGUGGACAUACAAUUUAGCAUGACUCAAAGCAAGUAUGAGGUCAGGAUGUCAGAUAAUAGUAGGAUGUGGAAAUGAAAGCAGAAACCUAAGU